rnacentral:rRNA from 1 species
UUAAAUUGAAGAGUUUGAUCAUGGCUCAGAUUGAACGCUGGCGGCAGGCCUAACACAUGCAAGUCGAACGGUAACAGGAAGCAGCUUGCUGCUUUGCUGACGAGUGGCGGACGGGUGAGUAAUGUCUGGGAAACUGCCUGAUGGAGGGGGAUAACUACUGGAAACGGUGGCUAAUACCGCAUAACGUCGCAAGACCAAAGAGGGGGACCUUCGGGCCUCUUGCCAUCAGAUGUGCCCAGAUGGGAUUAGCUUGUUGGUGAGGUAACGGCUCACCAAGGCGACGAUCCCUAGCUGGUCUGAGAGGAUGACCAGCCACACUGGAACUGAGACACGGUCCAGACUCCUACGGGAGGCAGCAGUGGGGAAUAUUGCACAAUGGGCGCAAGCCUGAUGCAGCCAUGCCGCGUGUAUGAAGAAGGCCUUCGGGUUGUAAAGUACUUUCAGCGGGGGAGGAAGGUGUUGUGGUUAAUAACCGCAGCAAUUGACGUUACCCGCAGAAGAAGCACCGGCUAACUCCGUGCCAGCAGCCGCGGUAAUACGGAGGGUGCAAGCGUUAAUCGGAAUUACUGGGCGUAAAGCGCACGCAGGCGGUCUGUCAAGUCGGAUGUGAAAUCCCCGGGCUCAACCUGGGAACUGCAUUCGAAACUGGCAGGCUUGAGUCUUGUA